UCCCAGGAAAAAAGGGGGGGGGGCCUUACCGGCCCGCUCCAUUGAAGCGGAGCCGAACAUCCGAACGACAUCCGUAUUUCCUAAUUUGUUAGCUGUGAAUCUCCCUCCCUUCUCUGCUCAUCCGUCGUUUGCUUUCGAAUUUCACGGACUUGCGAUCACUGAUCGCUGCCUUCAGAGCUCAAAUCUUCCCGAGAAAAGUAAUCAUUUGCUGUCUCAUCUGAAUUUCCACAAAUCGGUAAUGGAAAACACAGAAGACGAGUUUCUUACACCUGGACAUUUUUUCCCAACACUCCAUUGAGUCGGCAAUAUCAGAAAUUAUAAACGGGGGGACAAAGUGCUCCACAUUAUUGAACUUUAGGGUGCUAGUUAGUACUUACUGUCCAUGAAUAUUUUAAGGACAAAAAUACUCUUUAUUCAAAAGUUAAUUUGAAAUUAACAGUCAAUGUCAAUAGCCGUUAAUGAAGGGGCAACAUCGUUUACAAUUUGGGCUUGAGAGGGGUGAUACUGCUCCAGACGAAAUAGUGGGGGUGAAAAUAUCAUUUAACCCUGAAUAAAUAUACUUUUGUCCACUUGCUCUGGUUUUUCAUAUUCUAAUGACUCCAAAAGCAUUUUCAAAUAAUUAUCAUGAAGCAAUUCCACUUUCAAGCGAACUUUUAUUGGGUCGAAGUGGGAUAGAUGGAGCACUUAACUAUUCUCUUAAUGAGAGAUGGCCGACGAGUCUUAGCUUUGGUAGCACACAGAAGGUGGGGGACACUCUUGUUCUAUCAUUGCUUACCAGAAAGCCUACAACAAUUUUGGAGUCAAAAAUACUUCCUCUAAAGCGAAAACUAUUUGGUUGUGCAAUUAUAGAUAAAGGACACUGAUCAUGUCGUUCACAGACUUACAAUCCAGUCUCCAUUGCAUGGUGGAGAAAAAAACUAGAAAUUUAAAUUUUUCAUAUUUAUUAUGUACUGGCAUCUUAUAGCUUGUUUUUCGAAGGUUUGGGAAAAUAGGAUUUCCGUAUACCAAAAACCAAUAAAUCACCGAACCUAAGCCCGAGUGAAACGGUUUCCCAAGCCGAGAAACCUUGAAGUUUGAGCGGUUUGCCAAUUUACGUACUUUGAAAAAUAGUAUCCCAUGCUUCUUUCUUGCGGAUGGCAGCAGUGGCAACUUAUCAUUCUUUCUGACUAGCAUUGAAACCCAGCUAGCGGAUACCAAACAUCUCAAUUUUCUGCCAUGGAUACAUAAAUUGACAAGUUUAAGGUUUAGAAACAACGUAGGCUCAUGUGGCUAUGGAUAAUUAGUAUACAUUGAUGUUAUUCACAAGCUACUCAUUCCAUACCCUCGCCCUUAAUUGAGGCAGUUCAUCCCAUGCUUCUUCUUUACCGAGCCUGCAUGAUAUAAGAACAUAUAAUGAGUUAGGUUCCGCUUUCUGCCAUAAUUUACAUUCUUCUACUCUAAUUUCUUAAGCGUCUCUGACCAUUGUCACUUUGGCAGAGCAAAAUGACAUGCAGGUUUGGUUUUCCAAUAGUAUGUUUCUAGUCAGGCGUAAUAAUCCUAGAGCAAUUUUCUUGUUAUUUUUACAUAAUUUGCCCGAUUACUAGGCUUCGAUUUUUUCCAUUAGAAGAUGUAAAUCAACAUAGGAAGUCCAUAAUAGAAAGUUAUUACAUAGUUUAUAGCAUGGUUGCUUAAGUGCUGGAUCAUCUGUUGAUGCUGGAGGAUCCUCGCCAAAUAUCAUCUCACAACUCAUGUCCUCAAAAUCUGCAAAUUAAAAGAUGCAGAUGAAGUUCAGACUGAUUAUAGGCAUUUCAAUUUCAUUAAAUUAGUGGGAUUCAUUAAAUCAUCCAGUCACAGCGAUUCACCUUAUUUACUCUGCUAUUAUCAGAGGUCCUCUACUUGUCAGCAAGUUAUUAGGGAGAGAAAAUUUUGUAUGGAAAGAAGAAAUGACUGGUGCUAUAAUGUCAAUUAGGUCAUUAUGAAUAUGAUGCGAUUUUAAUGCUUUUGAUGAAUGCUACUGAUGGGUAAUUGAAAGAAUAAUCAGAGGCAGGAUAUCAUAUAAAGAAGAAAAGGUGCAUGGAACCAUUAAUGAUAUCGAAGAUGUUUGCAGCUAUACUUGAGGUAUAAAUUUCUUGAUGAAAUGCAUGCAAUGUAUUUAGGUUUUCUCAACUGAGUUCCAUCUCAGUUCUGUAUCCCUAGUGGCAUAUACGUGGAGCCCUCCAUUGAAAUGAUGAUGCUGGCUUCCACAAUUUAGUGGAUGCUAUGAUACUCUACGUAUGAAAAAUGUUUCUUUUAUUUAUAUUUUUAGUGGGAAUUACCAUAAAAGGAAACCUCAGAAUAAAUUUUGUAGCAAGACCAGCUUUUCCUACUUGGUUUUAGUUUGGUGUAACAUGGGUGACUUUUUUUAAUAGCUAUAACGUAUUGACAUUUUGCUUAUACGAGAAACAAAUCCAUAAUGCAUCAAAGUGUUUGCUUUUCUCCAUUUCUUUCCAAAAGAAGUUCAUGACAAAGAACUUAAACUGAGACUCUUCAUGCGAGACCAUGUCAAGUAAUAGAACAGUGCUCAAGUAGUUGCUGGAUACGAUACUCACUUGGAACCAUGUUCACUGACAUACCCAAAGAGUCCUUCAUAAAAGAUUGAGAUGGCAUUUUGCAGAGAUUAAUGCACAUCCCGACACAAUUUGUCUGUUCCAAAAACCUGUACAUAUUAAAACCAAUUUGAAAAGAGAAAAAAUUGCUAGGUUGCUUAUGUGAAAUGAUGAGAGCGAUGGAAAUAACAAUCAUCAUUUUGGUUUUGACAAUAAUGUUGAUGGUGAUCAUGAUAGUCAUGAUGAGCAUAGAGAAUACAAUAUCGGAGCUGCAUCAUCAUUGAAGCAAAUUGUUCGAGGCCAGAACGUAUCGUAGGUUGGUGAAUUGGGGACCAUCUUAUGUUAUAAAUUUGAGGUUAAAAUAUGAUGGAAAAGGUAGAGUUACCUGCACUUUUUUAUGUGGACAACAUUUUUUUCUCUUAUCCCGUUGACUUCUGAUUCCCUCACCUUAUUCAUAGUGAAAAUGAUAAUGAGGUUAAUUCUUCAACAAUAUCAUGGGUAGGAUAUUUAAAAAAAUAGUUGCAUACACAAGUCAAUUAUGUUUUAUAUAUAUAUAUAUAUAUAUCUAUUGGCCAAAAGUCAAUUAUGUUUUAUGAUUAUGUGUGCUUUUAUAAGUUAAUUUCACUAUUUCCGCUUCCUUAGUUAGUCUGCAAAUCCUUGUGCCCUGCCACGUUUGUCUCUUCUGUCCUGUCGAGUAAUACCUGUUAAUAAAGAUUGUUGUCUUGUGAAGCUUGAUGACAUACUACAGUUUAUAUCAUACUUAGUAUCCAUUGGAAUGAUCUAAAUUUGUGUCAUGUGUGCUAAUAGAACUCAAGUGGGGCAAGAUGUGCGAAUGAAAUUAUACACUUCUUGAGGAGACUAAUUAGUGGGCUCCCAACAGUGAAAGGAGAUAAUUGCCUAGUUCUUUUCAGCUCUGCUAAGUUGACUUCCUUCCCUAUCGUCCAUCUUAUUCACUACUACUCUGCCGCCAUGCAAGAAUCUAUUUAUAAGUUUUUUGGUUGUAUUAGAAACUGUGUUGCCCAGAUUCUACGGUAAGAGGGCCGCUUUGAAGGUUGCUUAGUAUCAGGUAUUUUGUAUACAUACGCUUCGGCUUCUGAUUAGCUAGUUAUAACGGGAAUUUCCAGUAUCUUAAUCAGCUUCCACAAUGAUUUGCUUCAAUAUGUUUGAUCAGAUUUAUCACCAAUUAAAGUUCAGUCUUAUCACAAGUGGAAGGCGUAGUGUCCCAUGUCGCUCUGCCUAUGAGUUCCCUUGCUGGGGUUCUACUAAUUAUGAUUGGGAUUCUAGCACCAAAAUGACAUCAGAGCAAUUCUAAUAGGUUACUAUUGACACUACAGUAUCAGAUGCUUACCUCGCAGUGCCCGACUAACCAAGCGAAAAACAGAGUAGUAAAGGCGGCAAAAUAUUCCCUUGCCAAUCUAGAUGGCGGCAGCACUGUCCUUAUCUGCAAUCGGUUGUAACAACAUAGUCAUUAAAGACAAAUCACAAUUUUUUCCAGGGGAAAAAAAAAUAAACAAGAACCAUGCCUGCACUAUUUUUCAUUUUUCUCCAAUGCUAAUAUCUGGGAGAUUUGGCAUAACCGGAAGGAGACCAGAUGGGUGAUGAACUCACAAAGGAGAGUAUUGGCCUUGGAAAGCUGCCGUCGAGAGCUCGGAUGACAAUUUCACGCUGCUGAGAAGGAUUGAAUUUCUGAGAAACCACAGUAGCUGCCUCGACCAGGCUGUCAUAUCCACUCUUGCUGUUAAUGAAUCCUGCUUAGGAUUGAAGGUAAGAGAUGAAUGAAAGGAAAUCAAAUUCAUGAAACCUAUGUGUUGUAUGCAAAAGGAUGGAAGAAGGUGAACCUGAUGCCUUUUGAACGUUCUUAGAAAGAUGAUUUAUGGCCAGGCGAUCGAACCAGUUGUCUUUGUAGACAUUGGUUUUUCUUGUUUCUUCCGUAAUGUCAUCUGCAGGUCUUGUGAGCACUCCAACCACAGAGGGAUAUCCUGGUUUAUGUUUGAACUUCCGAUGUGCUGCAGUUACUGUUGGAUUUCUGCUCAUUGUUAAAAUUUUGGCUUCCAUUUCUGCAACGAUUGCUCUUUGUUUGUGAGAGGGGGAGAGAGAGAGAAUGAAGGAGUUUAACAGGAGAUAAAAUGACGGGGGUGCGUGUGUUAGAACAAAGAAGUGCAUGGAAAAUAUAUAGCAAAACGGUCGUGUACUGGAUUC